AAAGGUGCAUGAGUGGUGUUUGGUUUGUUACGGGUGGUUGGCUCUUUGCUUGUGCAACAACUUCCACCUGGCAUACCUCUUCAGUCUUGUGUCAAUGCUUGUAUUGCAUUGAAUGCACGGUGGGUUUCUUGUGUUGCAUGCCUAAUUGAUGGUAUCAUUUGAUGAAUUGAUGUUCGUUUUCGUCUUGUGUCGCACAUGCGAUGUGAGAUGAACCUUAAAGCAGCCUUUGUGAUCCACUCUUUUGAUGCACACGCAUUGAUUUUGUGGCCCAUUGAGUGUUGCUUGGUCUCAUGGAUAURGAACCUUUUGUGGGCAUGGGAUCUUUUAUUAGUUCCUUGUUUGCCCUA
rnacentral:misc_RNA from 1 species